CAGCCGCCGCGGUAAUACGGAGGGCGCGAGCGUUGUCCGGAUUCACUGGGCGUAAAGCGGGUGUAGGCGGCCCGUUAAGACAGGUGUGAAAUCCCUGGGCUCAACCUAGGAAUUGCGCUUGUGACUGGCGGGCUCGAGUACGGUAGAGGGGGGUGGAAUUCCUGGUGUAGCAGUGAAAUGCGUAGAGAUCAGGAGGAACACCGAUGGCGAAGGCGGCCUCCUGGCCCGUUCCUGACGCUGAGACCCGAAAGCGUGGGGAGCAAACCGGAUUAGAUCCCCGGGUAGUCCACGCCGUAAACGGUGGGCACUAGGUGUGGGGGGUUAAUCCCUCCGUGCCGAAGCUAACGCAUUAAGUGCCCCGCCUGGGGAGUACGGCCGCAAGGUUGAAACUUAAAGGAAUUGGCGGG
rnacentral:rRNA from 1 species